rnacentral:rRNA from 1 species
AGCCGCGGUAAUACGAAGGGUGCAAGCGUUACUCGGAAUUACUGGGCGUAAAGCGUGCGUAGGUGGUUUGUUAAGUCUGAUGUGAAAGCCCUGGGCUCAACCGGGCGAGGACGUGGGCGAACUGCAGGGCUAGAGGCAGGUAGAGGCGUGUGGAAUUCCGGGUGUAGUGGUGAAAUGCGUAGAGAUCCGGAGGAACACCAGUGGCGAAGGCGACACGCUGGGCCUGGCCUGACGCUGAGAGGCGAAAGCAUGGGGAGCGAAC